rnacentral:rRNA from 1 species
CAGAGGUUCGAAGGCGAUCAGAUACCGCCCUAGUUCUGACCGUAAACGAUGCCACCUGACGAUCCGCCAGGGUUACUACCAUGACUCGGCGGGCAGUCCCCGGGAAACCCAAGCCUUCGGGUUCCGGGGGAAGUAUGGUUGCAAAGCUGAAACUUAAAGGAAUUGACGGAAGGGCACCACCAGGAGUGGAGCCUGCGGCUUAAUUUGACUCAACACGGGGAACCUCACCCGGCCCGGACACCGCGAGGAUUGACAGAUUGAGAGCUCUUUCUCGAUUCGGUGGGUGGUGGUGCAUGGCCGUUCUUAGUUGGUGGAGCGAUUUGUCUGGUUAAUUCCGAUAACGAACGAGACUCUAGCCGGUUAAGUAGCCCGAGCGGUUUUUGAUCUUUGCCGUUCAUCCCCGUUCGACCUUU